UCUCCGAAUGCGACUAACGACGGUGGA
rnacentral:sRNA from 1 species